rnacentral:lncRNA from 1 species
GAAAGAGUAUCACCUUGCCUUAAUCCCCUUUGUGACUUGAAAUAUCCUUCUGGACUUCCAUUAACCGAGAUUGAAAAUCUCAUUCUAGAGAUGCGCAUCUUAAUCCAUUGAGUCCACUUAUCACCAAAUUCAUCCACUUUAGAAUCUUCAAGAGACAAGACCUACUCACGUGAUCAUAAGCUUUUUUUAGUCAAGGUUGCAUUGAUACACCCC